CGGUCGCGCGGUCGCUCGGGGGGCCACUGGCUCCACCACGGCCCUUGUGCGGCUGUCAUUCCCUGAGCUUGAGGUCUCGUGUUCCGGAACCUCAUUCGGACGGUUCCAAGGGGGGAAAGCGGGUCGUGAGGCUUCUGCACUCGGCUGGAGGUGAACAUAGAAACCAGACGUGGGAUGUAAUGAAGGCAAAGGGGCCUGUGGAAAACUGGACGAAUGUCUCAGUCGGACGAGAAUUUUCUGCCCAGCUGGGCCCAAACACUGCGGUAAUUCAAGCUUGCCUGUAUUGGAAAUCCGAGUAUUUUAUUCUCCUGGAUCUCACAAGCAAGCGCCCUCGGUCUUGACCUUCUUGGUGAGGGUACUCCGCAAUGUGUGAAGUAUCGAACAAGAAUGGUUGGGCACCAGAGUUCCGAGUUGCGAGGAAGCUGGGAACAGCCCUUCCCUCUCAUUGCAAAGGAUCCCAGCAGCUUCUUUACCCCUCUGAGACCAAAAAGAGAAGUUGUUUAUCUGGUGGGUUUCGGGGAGGGACCAGCUAUGGAUGAGGGAUAAGGGGGAAAGGAGGGAUUCUUUGAUUUUUCUCUGUAAGAGGUCUGCAGUCAGGGAAGAAUGCUAUUUUUACAUGCUUCUCACCCUCCAUCCCAACUAGCGGAGACCGCUCUUUCUGUACUGAUGGUGUCUGUUGAAUGUUUAUAAUGGGUCAGGGAAAGGAGUCCUCCCUAACCGGACACUUCUCUUGAGUGUGGCUGCAGAGGAAUGAACGUACCUUAUGUGGAAUUAACCCUGGGGUUUGGUUUUCAGUUAAGAAAAUGAGGCAGAAGGAAGUAUUAACCAAGACCCUCCAAGGCCCCGCCAUUGUCUGUAGGACUCCAACCAGCCACGUUUACAUGUUUGAGAACAGUGGUGGGGACUCGGGGGACUCCUCUGAGGAAGAGUCCCACCAUGUGGCUCUGCGGCCCCGGGGCAAGGAGCGCCACCAGAAGAAGGGUGCCCACCACCCUCGCCAGCCAGGAGCGGGGGACGUGGUGCUGCUGCAGCGGGAGCUGGUCCAGGAGGACAGCCUCAACAAGCUUGCUCUUCAGUAUGGCUGCAAAGUCGCAGAUAUCAAGAAAGUCAACAACUUCAUCAGAGAACAAGACUUAUAUGCUUUGAAAUCUAUUAAGAUUCCGGUGAAAAAUCAUGGGAUCCUAACAGAGACCCACAAAGAACUCAGACCCCUCCUGAGCCCAUCCUCAGAGACAAGAGUGACCUUCGAGGAGCAGCCAGAUCCAGACAGAGCGGCUGUAGGCGCCGGUGCCCUGUCCAGCCCACUGACAGAUUUCUUUAAGGGCAUUGACCAGAAUAUUGAGCGUGCAGUGCAGUCAGAAAUCUUUUUAAAUGAAAGUUACUGUGUAGAGACCUCCAGUCAGCCGCUGCUUCCAGCUCCUCCGAAGACCUUGACAAAUGGUGCAGACUGUGGAAUUCAGUGGUGGAAUGCUGUUUUUAUCAUGCUUCUAAUUGGGAUUGUUUUACCAGUGUUUUAUUUGGUCUAUUUUAAAAUGCAGUCUACUGGAGAGAUCCCCAGUAGCUUGAACACAACUACUGUCCCCAAUGGCUCGAUGGCUAUGAGUGCAAUUCCAGGGCAAGCCCCCAAAUUAGCAGUUCCGGUGCCAACCAUCCCCUCUUCAGAUGGCCAUUUCAGUCCAACCACCCGGGCAGGGAACUAGCUCUUGUCAUUUCUAAAGAAUCAGGCCAGCGUCAGCAUUUGACUUCCUGAUGUGUAUCACCUGACUUCGGCCAUCUCCUAAGGUGUUGCAUUUCCUUUUCUGUGACCUAUGGACACAUCUCAGAAGCCACUAUUGUGUUCCCCAUAACACUCACCUGGGGAAUAGGCUCUCCUAAUCCAAGGCUGUGGGGACCAAAGCACCAGCACCCUCGGCCUUCUACAUCCAGAAGGUACAGCAAGAGAGAGAUUUACACGUGACACAUGGCAUUUCUUGAAGGUACAUAGUGGACUGGCACUGCGUGGGUCCCCACAUUUGAUUUAUUUAGAAGUUGAGGAGCAGCAUUGGACCUUCAGUGUGGGAGCCUCUGGGGUUCACUUUAGUCACUUGGCAGGUCCCCUGCCUGCUGGGAAGAGAUGACUGGCUGUGACAAAUGAUGUUCUUUGUCUCCCUGGCAAAGGUGCUGUCCAAUAGUGGUGAACAUCACCCUGUUUUGGAGUAUACAAAUUAUAACAAGCUCUGUUUCAUAGUUGUCCCACCAGUUAGCCUUUUUGAGGCAGUGUCGCUUCCAAAAUUUAAAAAGCCCUAAAUCCGAAUUACUCUAAUGUUGUGUAAAUGGCAGUUCUGUUCCUUGUACUUCUAGAACUACUUAGCGAUCCACAGGUCUACUUUUAAGCUGCUGCAUAUCGUGGCCAGUACUUCCUGGUCAGAACAUUUGGAGGCUGUUGCUCAGUUUCACCAGAGGUGCAUCCCCACCCCAGUGGCUAACCAGAUUACCUGUUAGCAUUUUUGGAAAGAAUUCCUAUUGGUCAGUUUCUGGAGCUAAGUAGGUACAAAGAGAAAGAUGAGUGUGCCUAUCACCAAGAUCCCAACAUGUGACGCUUCUGGAUGAACAGUCAUCAGUCCAGCAUUGCUGAGAGCAGCAGUCUCGAGUGUACCUGUAAGGGAGGUACAGGGAGAAUGAGUGUGCUUCCUCCUGCUUCCCUGACUAAUCUUAGGAAGUCUAGAGCCAUUGCCCCAGAAGGGGGCUCGGUGUUUUUCCUUGGGUAAAUACACUUUAGAUAGUGUAGCUCAUGGUGUUAAAAGACCAAACCACUUAAUGGAGGUGACCCUUGCUGUGAAGGCCAUAAAUAGAGAGGUCAGGCUCCAUCAGCCUGAGGUUUUCCCAUCUCCUACACUGCUGCAGUCAUGCUGGAGGCUCACGGGGGGUGUGGGUCAGCCUCUGAAGCCAUGCAGGGCAAAAGCCUGUUUGGACAGAGCCCAUCUUGGUCCCAUGGAAGCGUGGAAAUGGGCUUACAUGGCUGAUGGCUGAGGCUCAGAGAAGCCUGCCACCAGGGAGGAAAACACACUGCACAAAUGCUGAGCUUUGAGUGUGAUUUAUGUCAUUCAUCAGGCCUAGAGAUAAAUUGAGAAGAUGUCAUGUAAGAGGAGGCGAGUAGGGCAGAAGAGUACUUAAAAUGGGCUUCUGGUUUUUCUCUUCUCAGCUAUGUGAAAAACAAUUUGCUCUUGGUUUGAUUAGUAAAUUUAAAGAAUCUUCAAAAGUAAAUCUUUUCUUCAAAACCAAAAUGAUCUUCAGGAUAAAAUGACCUUGUGAAUCUUUGCUGCAGGAAAUGUUUUGAUCAUGUGAAUGCUUUUCCAGCCAAAUGUUUGUACUCCCUGUGCCCCUGGAGGCCACAGGUUUCUCUAACACAUCACCAUUAACUUCGCCAGGCAGAGCUCGGAGUCUCAUGGGAAAAUGGCUUCUGUCAAGCUAAGAAUAAGUAUCUAGGAAAAAGGAAGAAAGU